UAUUCAUCGUAAGCAUGAGAGGAGCGAGAGAAGAAGAAAAAAAUGUGAGAUGAAAAGAUAUAUCAAGAGGCAAUAGAACAUUUUACUUUGAACCCGAGUUAGAACCGUCUUGAUGCAUGUGCCAACAACUUUGAUCAGCCAUAAAACAAAUACGUCCUGAAUGCCUUCACAUGCCUCACAAGCAAAAAUAUUCGAAAAUGUAAAUAUCUAAGACAAUAAUACUUGGAGGUUAAUAGCUGGUUAUAUGUAUUAUGAGUAUAAAAUGAGUAAAAUAGAACUAGAAGCUGAAUAUAACACUUUUUCAGUUUUUUGGCCGCGCACAAAAAAAACCCUUCUAAGGUUCUAAAGCUGGCAUUUUAUAGUGUGGCAAAAAAAUAAUAAUAAUAAAAUAUCCGGUAAAUUUUUUAAUCCCAUUCACCGUAACCCACCUGUUCAAUGUCCACCAACUAGCAGGAUGAAAUAGCGGCGCAAUUGACAAUUCCCCUCGAACCCUAAGAGCUCUGGAUCUGAGCGGGUUGUGGGGAGCGCAUACCUCAGCAGCAGCCGGGGCAUGGGGUGAUGGGCGCGAGGUGUUGAGUGCGGCGGUGGCUCAGACGCUGGAGGCGGCGGGCGGGGUUCGUCUGCGCACACCUCUUGACGUCGGGCGCGUUCGUCACCUCUGCCGCCCACCGCCCACCGCGUCGUCCUCCCGGCCAUGCAAUCUCCAGCUUGUGCCACGGCUUGCAGUCCCAGACUCUCUCGAGGAGGUUUCCUGGGGCCUGGGGUCCGUCUCCCCUGGCCACUACUCCUCGUGUCCGGCGUUCUGAGUUUCUGUUACAGCACGCCAGCAGCAAUGUGGGCAAUACAAGGAUUUACACAUGGAUGAGGCCAUGAGGGGACUGGGGGGCACAAGUUGUAAGGUUUUGCAAUUGCAGCCGACAUAGAUGCGAUGCCAUUUUAUCUGACAUAGCAUGGAUAACACAAAAUUGAGAUGUCUAUUUACUCUUGUUACAAUACAAGUUGUUAACCACGGUUGUAGAGGCUUCACAUUAAGGUUUCAUGAGUGCUAGAAGUUUUCACCAAUGUAUACUGGUGUUUUAGUUUGGAGCUUGCUAAUCAUUGGAUUAUUUGGACCUUCCAGGAUUAGUAGAGAUAUUAGGGGGUGUUUAUAGCAAGUGAUGCAGUCGACGAAGUUUGAAGAGUCACCGCUUGGCUUGCAGCUGAAGCUUACCGUGGUGUGUUCUUGAUGAGUUGUGCCCGUUGCUGGUGGACAAUAGUGCUUGUAAGAUAGAGGCAGUGUUGUUUCUUCAGCCACAAAUGCGGCAUUAGAGAUAACUAAUGAUGUAUCAAAAAACACAAUUGCCUUGAAGUAGCAGGGGAAGGAGGAUGCUUAGACAAGGGAAGGUUGACACCAAGCGAAGCAAUGUAGAGACUACAACUCAGCCACUCAGGGGAGAGCAGUGUAUCAUUAUCUUGAGAGAAAACAAUGGGAAGAGCCCUCACACACACCGUGAGGAAAACAUAAACAACCCUGUCCAAAGCUUUGCACUACUCCGGCACAAGGGCCAUGAGAUUACUAGUUAAAUUUCCUUGAAACGCUGGCAACCAUCGGAUCAAAAAUUGGAAGGUGGAUGUGGCGCGCGUGGCUUUGCAGACGCAAGUCGCUCCACUCCCUCUUCCUCUCCUACUCCGGCUUUCCCACAGCGCCGCCGCUCGACGGGGGCAGACGGCAGAGCAGGCACCCCGCCGUGUGACCGGCUCGCCUUUGCGCCGGCGUCCCCACUUCUCAUCACGCCAUCGCCAGGGGGUCGGUCGCUAACUAUUCAGCUACCAUGGCGCGUCCGUUCUCGUCGCUGGCGCACUCCUCGUAUCGCCGCAGGAUCGUCGAGUGCAAGGCAGCGGCUUGCUCCUCGCGGCUCCCUUCCCGCGCUAGGCCGCCCGUCCGCCCCCGUAUCGCUGCCAGCUCCGACACCACCUCAGCAAAUGGAAUGGAUACUAGCAUCAUUACCAUUCAGACUAUGGCGUGGUGGGAGACCCUGAAUCAUAUGGCCUACAAAUUUGGGAGCCUUGGCAAGUCUGAUGGGAAGCUGGCCUUGAAGAUACUGAGUUCUAUAGUGGAGCGAUCAGGUUUAGACCGAAUUACCUACAUUUACUGUAUGGCUGUCCCAAUUCUCAUCCAGGCUCAAAUGCAUUCGCAAGCAAUGUCAGUGUUGAGGCGUCUUGCUGUGAUGGGCUUCUCCUGCACUGCUAUUUUUACCUCCCUCUUGCGGAUCAUUUCACGUUUUGAUUCCACCAAUCAUGUUGUAUUUGAACUCCUUGUCAAAGCUUAUGUCAAGGAAAGAAAAGUGCUAGACGCAGCUGUGGCAGUUCUCUUUAUGGAUGACUGUGGAUUUAAGGCUUCACCUAUUGCUUGCAAUACCAUCCUCAGGGCUCUUGUGGAGCAAGGGGAAUCAAAGUAUGUUUGGUUAUUCUUGAGAGAGAGUUUGGCCCAUAAUUUUCCUCUGGAUGUUACCACUUGCAAUAUUCUUCUGAAUUCCCUAUGCACCAAUGGAGAAUUUAGAAAGGCUGAAGAUAUGCUUCAGAAGAUGAAGACCUGUCGCCUAUCUAAUUCUGUCACUUAUAAUACAAUACUACAUUGGUAUGUUAAGAAGGGGAGAUUUAAGGCUGCCCUGUGUGUUCUAGAAGAUAUGGAGAGGGAUAGUAUACCGGCGGAUAUAUAUACCUAUAACAUCAUGAUAGAUAAAUUAUGUAGAAUAAAGAGGAGUGCGCGUGCUUUCCUUUUGCUCAAAAGAAUGAGGAAAGAUGACUUAAUACCUGAUGAAUGUACCUACAAUACUUUGAUCAAUGGGUUUUUUGGUGAAGGUAAGAUAAAUCAUGCUCACUAUGUCUUUAAUCAUAUGCUGAGACAAACUUUUGUUCCAAGUGUAGCUACUUACACUACAAUGAUUGAUGGGUACUGCCGAAACAGGAGAAUUGAUAAGGCCCUAAGUGUUCUGUCAGAAAUGCAAAUUACUGGUGUCAUGCCAAAUGAGCUAACUUAUAGUGCUUUGUUGAAUGGUUACUGCAAAGUUUCCAUGCUAGGACCCGCUCUACAUCUUAUGGAAGAUCUGAAAUCGAGAGGUAUAACCAUCAAUAAGACGAUGUGUACUAUUCUCAUAGAUGGUUUCUGUCAGGUGGGUGAGAUUUCCAAGGCUAAACAAAUUUUGAAGAGUAUGCUUGAGGAUGGAAUUGAUCCAGAUAUCGUCACUUAUUCAGCAUUGAUCAAUGGUAUGUGCAGGAUGGCUAAGAUUCAUGAAACAGAAGAAAUUUUGUCAAGGAUGCAGAAAAGUGGAAUUUUACCUAAUGAUGUGCUAUAUACAACUCUGAUUUCUUACUAUUGUAAGGCAAGGUAUGUCAAGGAAGCACUAAAGCAUUUUGUGGACAUUUAUCGAAGGGGGCUAGUUGCCAAUCCAGUUAUCCAUAAUGCAUUAUUAUGUGCUUUCUAUAGAGAGGGAAUGAUUACAGAGGCUGAACACUUCAGACAAUACAUGUCUAGGAUGAAGAUAUCAUUUGAUUCUGUCUCCUUUAACUGCAUAAUAGAUAGUUAUUGCCACAGAGGUAAUAUAGUUGAGGCAUUUACAGUUUAUGAUGCUAUGGUUAGAUAUGGCCAUUCUCCAAAUGUUUGCACAUAUCAGAAUUUGCUUAGAGGAUUAUGUCAAGGAGGCCACUUGGUACAAGCAAAGCAGUUUAUGUUCUGUCUUCUUGAUAUACCUUCUGCUAUUGAUGAGAAAACUUUCAAUGCACUGCUUCUUGGGAUUUGCAAAUAUGGAACUCUAGAUGAAGCUUUGGAUCUAUGUGAGAAAAUGGUCAAAAAUAACUGUUUACCUGACAUCCAUACCUACACCAUUCUUCUCAGUGGUUUUUGCAGGAAAGGUAAGAUUUUGCCUGCGUUAAUCAUGUUGCAGAUGAUGUUGGACAAAGGAGUAGUCCCUGAUACUGUUGCAUAUACCUGCUUGCUGAAUGGGUUGAUCAAUGAAGGCCAAGUGAAGGCUGCUUCUUAUGUUUUCCAGGAGAUCAUAUGCAAGGAAGGCCUGUAUGCAGAUUGUAUUGCCUAUAAUUCAUUGAUGAAUGGGUACCUCAAGGGUGGAAACAUAAAUACUAUAAAAAGGAUGAUGUCUGAUAUGUAUCAGAGUGAGGUUUAUCCAAACUCUGCUAGCUAUAACAUACUUAUGCAUGGGUAUGUCAAGGGGGGACAAUUUUCAAAGUCCUUAUAUCUGUACAAAUAUAUGGUGAGGAAAGGAAUCAGGCCAGACAAUGUUACAUAUCGCUUGCUCAUUCUUGGGCUUUCUGAGUGUGGGUUGAUUGACAUUGCAGUGAAGUUCUUGGAGAAGAUGGUCUUAGAAGGCAUUUUCCCUGAUAGGUUAGUUUUCGAUAUACUGAUUACAGCUUUCAGUGAGAAAUCCAAGAUGCAUAAUGCACUACAACUUUUCAAUUGUAUGAAGUGGUUGCGUAUGUCACCCAGCAGUAAAACUUAUAGUGCCAUGAUAAAUGGAUUGAUCAGAAAAAAUUACCUGGACCAGAGUCAUGAAGUUUUACGUGAGAUGUUACAAGUGGGGCUUCAACCAAACCAUACACACUAUAUUGCAUUGGUCAAUGCAAAAUGUCGGGUUGGUAAGAUUGAUAGAGCGUUCAGGCUAAAAGAAGAAAUGAAAGCUCUUGGCAUUGUGCCUGCUGACGUUGCUGAGAGUUCAAUUAUUAGAGGACUUUGUAAAUGUGGAAAACUUGAGGAGGCAGUCAUAGUUUUCAGUACUAUGAUGCGUUCAGGAAUGGUGCCAACUGUUGCUACUUUCACUACUCUAAUGCAUUGUCUUUGCAAAGAAUCCAAGAUUGCUGACGCUUUGCACUUGAAGAGGUUGAUGGAGUCGUGUAGACUGAAGGUUGAUGUCGUCAGUUAUAAUGUUCUAAUUACUGGUUUAUGCAAAGACAAGCGUAUCUCUGAUGCACUAGAUCUUUAUGAAGAGAUGAAAUCUAAGGGACUUUGGCCGAAUGUUACUACCUAUAUCACACUCACUGGAGCUAUGUAUUCGACAGGGAUAAUGCAGAAUGGAGAGGAACUACUGGAGGAUAUAGAAGAAAGGGGUCUUAUUCCAGUGUAUGUGCAGCUUGAAAAUCUUGAAAGACAGAUGGAGGAUGCAAUUAGAAGGUUAAACAUGAUUAGAAACUGCAGAAAGGAAGUGCCUUUUAGAGGGGUUGAGCUACUACCUGUAGAUCCUGAACCCGUGUGUAAUGCUGCUAGCGAUUGUAAUCCCACUGAAACUCGGCAACGUAAAGGAAUUUGAGCAUUUGACCAAUAGGGUUGGUACAAAACUAUUGGUACCUUUUCUGAGUAGUGCUUGUGGUGCCUUACAUUGUUGUGUUCCUCCAUGAGGGAUCCAUGGAUCCAUCUCUAGAAAUACAAAAUUACCCUGGGAGGAAGAGGAACCUCACAUCACAUAUGUUUCAGUGGAUCCUGGGGACAGGUAAAUGGGAUUAUGAGUGCUGAUUCAUGAUGUUAGGUAUGAUAUGCAUAAGUUACAGCAGGCAUUCACAGUGGAUCUUUUAUCUGCAAUGAUUGGCUGGAGUGAGCAUUGAGGAAUAUUAAUGACCAUAUCUCCUAAAAUCCAACUGUUAUAGCUGCAGUCCUGCAAAGUUGGGUGUUACCAGAUUAAUUGCUCACUUGCUUCAUGAUUCUUUUAUGGGCAUUCCUCACACCGUUCACUUAUUUGUUGCACAUGAGAGCACACACUUGACAUGAGAGGAAGAUGGUGGCAGAGGAGGUGCCAAGAGAGAGAGAGCAAUGGAUAAUGGGACCACAAUGUCCCUAUGUCUACUCCAGUGAUGUUGACAUAUGGGAUAGAGGAGGUCAUGAGGUGAAUGCUGCAUGUGUUCUGAUGAUGAUUUCAGGACAUUCUGGCAUGGAUCCGGCAUGGACUUAAGCACUCAGCUUAUGAGCAUUGUCAUGAGUAUUAUGAGAUACUAGAUGGCAACUUGAUCCAUUGUGUGCAGAAGAGUGUGAUGGAGUGGAUUACUCUGGUCACCUCCAAACUGGGGAUGCUGAGUUGUUGAUGCCAGAAUGCCGCAACUCUGAUGUGAAGCUGAGAUUCACCAGCCUUUCACAAGUGUUGAAGGUGAUAGCAAUCCACGAUUGCAAGCUCUGUGGCUAGGUCUUAACAUCCAGCAAAGGAUUGGCAUGCCAUGCCGCAAGGAAGUUCCGCAAAGUUCCUGUUCAUGAAAAGGUUGCAGCAUCACCCAACUCUGCAGUGUCUCAACCGAAAGCAGCUGCUUGAAGUGGCCAAGUGGGUAGCCAGUUGUUCUGUCUCAACCUUUCAGGUUUCUACAGGAACUACAGCAGCAGGAGUCCAAAGUCUGAACUGACCAAAAGAGGCUAUCGGUGUGAUCCAGUGCUGCCAUGAUUGUCACAGUUUCUGUAUCAGUCCGUUGGGAAAAAAAAAACUAUAUAGCUUAGCUCCUAAUGUGAAGGAUAUUGAUGUCAUGAUGCCCUUUGGUAGAUUUGCUUAGUAGUAGUACCCUGGCAUUACAAAUGGUCAGUGUUCUUACAUGUAGCACUACAGUUCUGUUCCACAAUACUGAACUGUGUUCAGUGCCAGCGAAUUGGGGCCAUGGUCUCAUUUUUCAUUGUACCCUGGUGCAUAGCAUUAGCACUUUAGCAGGCUUGUUUCAGGUUGUUGCAAACUUGCAAAGCAUUUUUGCCUGACAAAGAUGGAGAAUCAGAUAAUUCCAUGAA